rnacentral:rRNA from 1 species
AUGGAUGGCGCUGAAGCGUCGUGCUUAUACUCGACCGUCAGCGGCAAGAGCGAUCGCCCGCAAGGGCGGUCACCAAGCCCUGACGAGUAGGAGGGUCGCGGCGGUGAGCGCAGAAGGGCUGGCCGCGAGGCCGUCUGGAGCCGCCGUCGGUGCAGAUCUUGGUGGUAGUAGCAAAUACUCCAGCGAGGCCCUGGAGGACUGACGUGGAGAAGGGUUUCGUGUGAACAGCCGUUGCACACGAGUCAGUCGAUCCUAAGCCCUAGGCGAAAGCCGAUGUCGAUGCGGUGUAGCUUUAUUGUUAUUAUUAAUUUAAUUAUAAAUUUACGCACACACCCGUCGGGCGAAAGGGAAUCCGGUUCCUAUUCCGGAACCUGGCAGCGGAACCGUCAAUAAGUCGGGCCCUCGCAAGAG